GUAAGUCUGACAAAUGUCUGAAAAAAAUUGGAAGUCAAGAUGUACCAAUGCCAGAUGAUGUCUAAGAAGUGAAUUAUGAUGAUUUAAAAGUAAUAACUCAGAGUUACCACAGACUUGCAUAUUAAGGACAAACAGUUUCAAGAAUAAGACU